UCGAGGAUCUUCGGCAAUGGGCGCAAGCCUGACCGAGCGACGCCGCGUGCGCGAUGAAGGCCUUCGGGUUGUAAAGCGCUGUCGAGGGGGAGGAAGCCGAAAGGUUGACCUAUCCCUGGAGGAAGCACGGGCUAAGUUCGUGCCAGCAGCCGCGGUAAGACGAACCGUGCGAACGUUGUUCGGAUUCACUGGGCUUAAAGGGCGCGUAGGCGGGUUACCAAGUCAGGGGUGAAAUCUUUCGGCUCAACCGGAAAAGUGCCCCUGAUACUGGUAGUCUUGAGGGAGGUAGGGGCAUGUGGAACUUCCGGUGGAGCGGUGAAAUGCGUAGAUAUCGGAAGGAACGCCGGUGGCGAAAGCGACGUGCUGGUCCUCUUCUGACGCUGAGGCGCGAAAGCCAGGGGAGCGAACGGGAUUAGAUACCCCCGUAGUCC
rnacentral:rRNA from 1 species